GCCGGGAUGGCGGAACUGGGAUACGCGACGGACUCAAAAUCCGUUGGGGCUCACACCCCGUGGGGGUUCGACUCCCCCUCCCGGCACCA
rnacentral:tRNA from 1 species